CCUACGGGGGGCUGCAGUGGGGAAUAUUGCGCAAUGGGCGAAAGCCUGACGCAGCGACGCCGCGUGAGGGAUGAAGGUCUUCGGAUUGUAAAACUCUGUCAGCAGGGAAGAACGGUCACUGUGCUAAUCAGCAGUGAAUUGACGGUACCUGCAAAGGAAGCACCGGCUAACUCCGUGCCAGCAGCCGCGGUAAUACGGAGGGUGCGAGCGUUAAUCGGAAUUAGUGGGCGUAAAGCGCACGUAGGCGGUAUGUCAAGUCAAGGGUGAAAUCCCCGGGCUCAACGUUGGAACUGCCUUUGAAACUGGCAAGCUGGAGUGUGUGAGAGGAUAGUGGAAUUCCAGGUGUAGGGGUGAAAUCCGUAGAUAUCUGGAGGAACAUCAGUGGCGAAGGCGGCUCUCUGGCACAUAACUGACGCUGAGGAGCGAAAGCGUGGGUAGCAAACAGGAUUAGAUACCCUUGUAGUG
rnacentral:rRNA from 1 species